GGGGACAGUGACGACAUGCCUCCCUACCUUUAAAAAGUUCCCGUGUAUAACAUCUACAGAUUCAGACAGUCAUGAUAUAUUCAGACCAGACCACUUCGGAUUAUUCAGAGUGCAGGUUGCUAAAAUCAGCAACCACAGUAAAGCUAUUACUCAGAUCCCUCCUCAGUUUUUCCGUUAAAGUUCUGUGGGACACAUCAGCACACUCUUCACUAGCCACCCCCGAAAUUUCUUCUGUCAAGGCACAGACUUCCUCUGCGCCUGCAGGCAGGGCUCAGGAUGGACAGCCUGGGGCCCGGCCAGUCUCGAGGCCCAGAGGUGCGCGCGCUGCAGGUGGAAUGGCCGUCAGGUGCUUACUUUGACUGUCCUCGGGUCCCGAGUCUUCUGGUGGUUAACUGAGGAAACUGCUGCCUUAUGAUCUGGGCUUUUCAACUCUAACCAGAUUCUUCCAGACUCCCUUCUAGUAGAGCACUGAGCAGGCAUGCAUGGUCAGAGAGAGCCAGCCUGCACACUGUCCUUCAUGAGGAGACAUGCUGUUGCUGAUUUAUUUUUAGGGAAUGAACCUUGAGUGCUUUCUCUAGAGAUGGGAUGAACCUUUAUUGAUCCAUUCGCACCCUCUAUAAUCACACCAAUAUUCUCAUUGAUCGGUUUACUCAUUCACUCAAUAAAUGUGCUGUGACCCUGUUAUUUGUUUGAACAUAUAUAUUUAACCUCUCUGAGCCUUAGUUUCCUCCUGUGACAUCUAAGGACUUGGAUUAUAUAUUAAUAGUCUUCCCCUAAUGGUAGGGAUAGGUGAUGGUGGCCUCAGCUAAACUGGCAUCAGUGGGAUGGAAAGAAGUGAAGAAAUUAAAGAGGAAUUGAGAACCUGGACUGGGUGGUGUGAAAUUAACCGUUUCUGUACACUAGGGAGUGAACCAUCUCCAGUGUGGAGGAUGGAUGGGGUGGCAUUUCCUCAUCUGAAUUGGGUGGAAAAAAGAUGCACCUCACAAGGAUGUUUAGAGACUCGAAUGCCAUGACAUCAUGAAGCUACUUUUGGAAGUAAAAGGGCUUUUAAAUUAUUAUGUCAUAGUGCUAAUACUGAACAAAAUGAUGUACUAAUUCUUUGAAUUCUUUAAGAGUAUCACUUUUGUGGGCAACAUAUCCUUCUCUCUUUAACCCUGUCUCCUGGAAACUGAGGACCUGGGCUUCUCACCUUGUUUAUGUCCCUCUUGAAUUGUUGUGACUCCAGCAAAAUGCAGUGUUCAAGAUGUGGUCAGUAAUAGUGCUCUCUAAACCCUUCCCAGUCAUGCAGUCUAAGACUGAAUCAGGGUUUGGCAGCCUUGUCACCUUGGGUUUGUAUUAACCUAUGGCCAAGCCCUCCAGAGUCUCAUCACAGGAAUGGUUUCAGAGCCAGGAUUUGAUGCAGCCAUUCACAAAACUGCAAUACUGAACAGACAUAGACAUGCUGAUAGAGACAGAGAGAAAACAAGGGAAGCAUAAAAAAUGGAGCCAGGGGAUUCUUCACAGUGGUUAAAAGUUGGUUCUGAUUUGGGUCCUGAGUUUCAUAACCACACAAGCAAAGAAGAUAAUACAAUACAGUUACCAGAGUCCCAGUAUCAGUAAGUGCAUACUAGUUGCUUAGGAAAAGCAGAGAUUUUCCUAUGUUCCAGUCUGGGAAAUUCCUCUUAUGAAAAUGAGCACAACAGUAAGGUACCAUGUUUAAUGCUCUGAUAUUAGCAGACAUCAGAAAAUGAUAAUAUUCAGUGCUGUAAAGGCUGUAGCAAAACUCAGAUUGCUGAUGACAUAAUUUAUUAGUAUAACCCUUCCCCAAAGCAUUUUUAUAAUAUAUAUCAAGCCACAAAAUACUCAUACUUUUUGAUCUGUUAAUUCUAGGAAAAUAAUCUAAAAUAAGAAAAAGCUAAGUGUGGAUCUACUGAAGAGAGUAAAAAAUGGAAACAACAUAAAUAUCCAUUCAUAAGGAACUGGCUAAAUACAUGAUAGUAUAUACACUCAAUAGAAAUUAUGAAAUAGUCAUUUAAA